rnacentral:lncRNA from 1 species
GUAAAAAAGAGAGUGGUGGGAGUGGAUCCCACCUCUCCCCAUGGGAGUCCCACUCCCACUCUCCACUCCAAAAAUGGUGGGGCCCACGGAGUGAGAUUCCCACUCCCUCCUUAAAUUGUUGAAGUAAACACUGGAGUUGGAGGAAUUCACACUUCUCACUCCCACUCCAAAAAGUAAACACAGCAUAAAAGUAUGUUAAUGGUGUUAAACUAAUAAGUUAUAUUACUCAAUAUUCUAGUCUCUCAAAAAUAUAUGAUUAUGAUGCUCAUUGACAUAAUUCAUUAUCAAGUUUAAGGAAUAAACCAAAAGAUUUGAUCUAAGCCACCAAACACAACACAAUAAAUACUUAAAAUUGUUUUCACACUUAAUUUAUACAAAUUAAGCACAAAAUUAAGAGUUUGUAACUCAUCAUUUUAACCAAAUUUUAUUUCAUUAGUGUCCUCUAACAACAUAUAAUCAUAAAUAAUUUUGUUCAUACUCAUUCAAAUUAUUAAAAGAUGAUGAUGUUAACAUGCUUAGGGUUUAGGCUCAUUUGGAUUUGUUGGAUUCGUUUUAGAUUUGGGUGGAUUAAGUUGAUUUGUCGUCACCUUUGUGGUCACCCUAAUUACCAUCAAUGUUAGAUUCAUCAUCUUUUGUCACCAUCACUAGUGCCAUUGAUGAUGACAGAAAGAAAAUCAAUUUUGGUUUGGUAAGGGAGAGUUUCGUUCUUGCAAAUAAUGGGUAAUUUAGUCCAAAAAAUCCAUGUUUGGCCAAUUAUGAUAAAAAUAGUUUUAUAGUGUCAAAUUUGCAAAAUUGUAAAGUUUUGGAGCUAUCUUUAUAAAUUUUCCAGGAAUAUCUCCAGUCUCUUUCAAUCCAUCUUUUAUGUUUAAUUUGGCUCUUUCAACCAAUAUCGUGAUAGAUCUUUUGCAAAAAAUGAUUCAAUCAGUUAUUUGCUAGAUUUGUACUUGUAGAUACCAGAUCUAGAAAACAAGUACUACAUUAACAGAAAAUAAGAUCUAAAAAACUAUGGUCACUGUAAAUUUAAAUCUUGGUAGAGUAAACAAUCCAUAAAUAUUUAGGAGCACAAGUCAUUUUGAGUCAAAUAGGUACUCAACCAAUCCAACCCGCGAAUGGUGUAGGUUUGAGAAAACAUAACCCAACGCGACUUAUUUAAGAACUUUGCCGGUUGGGUUAGGUUGUGUUGCUUGGGCUAUUCCUAAAGGCUCAUUUUUAAUAUUCUCAAAAUUAAGGCAGUUAAUAAAUAAAUUAAUAGAUUAUACCAAAUAAUAUAAAAUACUAAUAAGAACAUCUAUUUAAAUUUAUAGUUCAGAUCCAAAACAUCGUUACAUACAAUUCUUAAACAAAUCCUAAAAUUAAAGUCUCAAAAAUCAAAUUAAACACUAAUAAUUCAUAGCAAAAACAAUAGUAGAAAAAAAAAUUGUAGUAACAACAGCAAAAAUAGCAAAAACAACAAUGAGAUCAAUAGAAUAUUGUAGUUUUGUAGGUUGUGAUUUUGACAAUUGAACCCAAUCUACAAAAAAAUAUAAUGGAUUGCAUGAGCUGGUGCCCACCUUUAAUAAAUAUAUUACAAAUAAAGUAUUUAAAACCCUCACCUUGACCAAUCUCCAUUGCCACACUGUCUGUUGGUCAUGUUGCUUUACCAUCACUGAAACCGCUCUUGAAUUUUAGAAACCUUUCCUUUGAUCAACAACCCUUGCAUUAGUCACCACUGCCUCUAAACUUAGACAUUAGAUUGCAUGAAACAAUCCAAAACCUGCUCUAUAUUGUCGUACCUUGCUAGUCUCCGUUGGUGGUAAUUUAUUAACAAUCGAACCUAACACGCACCUAACAGUUGUAUCACAUAAACAACCGCAACAAUCUCUCUAAAUCUGCACUCUCUAAACCUUAACCACCACCUUUUGUCCACCUUUAAUUGUUCUCUUACACCAUCAGCUAACCCCUAACUACUUCUUUACUAUUGCUUAACCAUCAAAUUGAUUUGUAGAACUGUUGCACAUUCAUCUCUAGUUCUUAAAACUGUAAUUUGCUAAAUCCACCGUCAUGGACAAUGCAUGUCACUAUAGUUCUUCCACCAUCUGGCUGCAACCAAACUUACUUAGACAACCUUACUAAUCCAAUCAAUUACCAUCACCUAUGAAAUCGAUCAAUAGCAACCAUCACUUAAAAUCAAUCAACAACUAUUAAUCCUUAAAACCAUACCUUUCCAAGCCUUUAUAUGCCUUUGUGCUUAAUCUUGUAUCAUCNNN